GGUAACUCUGGGGUCACUCCAGGGUCAUUCUGGGGUCACUCCAGGGUCAUUUUGGGGCCAUUUUGGGGUCAUUCCAGGGGGUCCCUAUUGGUCACUUUGGGGUCACUCUGGGGCCAUUUAGGGCCAUUUUGGGGCCAUUUUGGGGUCACUCCGGGGUCAUUUUGGGGCCAUUCCAGGGGGUCACUCCAGGGUCAUUUGGGGGUCAUUCGGGGGUCAUGGCGGGGGGUCACUCGGGGGUAGUUCGGGGGGGUCACUCAGGGGUCACUUUGAGGUCAUUCCAAGGUCAUUUCGGGGUCACUCACCGGCGGUGGGGCAGCCCCACGAGCAGCAGGUUGGGCUGUUGGUCCCUCUGGGGGUCACUCUGGGGGUCACUCCGGGGUCACUCGGGGUCAUUUUGGGGCCAUUUUGGGGCAUUUCGGGGUCAUUUUGGGGCCCUCUUGGGGACAUUUUGGGGUCAUUUUGGGGCCUUCUUGGGGACAUUUUGGGGUCAUUUUGGGCCAUUUUGGGUCAUUUUGGGGUCAUUUUGGGGCCAUUUUGGGUCAUUUUGGGGCCAUUUUGGGCCAUUUGGGGCCAUUUUGGGCCAUUUGGGGCCAUUUUGGGCCAUUUGGGGGUCAUUUUGGGGCCUUUUUGGGCCAUUUUGGGGCCAUUUCGGGGUCAUUUUGGGGUCAUUUCGGGGUCACUUUGGGGCCAUUUUGGGCCAUUUCGGGGUCACUUUGGGGCCAUUUUGGGGCCAUUUUGGGCCAUUUCGGGGUCACUUUGGGGCCAUUUUGGGGUCAUUCCAGGGGGUCCCUACUGGUCACUUUGAGGUCAUUCCAGGGUCACUGUGGGGUCACUCCGGGGUCAUUUUGGGGUCACUCACCGGCUGUGGGGCAGCCCCACGAGCAGCAGGUUGGGCUGUUGGUCCCUCUGUUGGUCCCUCUGGGGGUCACUCCGGGGGUCCGUCCAGUUCAGCCUCAGCCCCUGCAGAGCCCCCCCGGGCAGCUGCAGGGGGGGAGGGGCGCCCAGCAGGCGCUGCAGGGUCAGCGGCAGGGCGGCCAACGCCGCUCCGGCCACGCCCGGGAUGGUCAGGGCUGACCCUGCUGAGCCCAGCGCGGCCUGCAAGGGAAAAAGGACCAAAAAAAUCAAAAUUAGCACAAAAAAACCCAAAAUUAGCACAAAAAAACCCAAUUUAUACCAAAAAAAUAAAAAAAUUGGACCAAAAAAACCCAAAAUUAGACCA
rnacentral:lncRNA from 1 species